rnacentral:rRNA from 1 species
AGUGAACGCUGGCGGUAGGCCUAACACAUGCAAGUCGAACGGCAGCACAGUAAGAGCUUGCUCUUACGGGUGGCGAGUGGCGGACGGGUGAGGAAUACAUCGGAAUCUACUUUUUCGUGGGGGAUAACGUAGGGAAACUUACGCUAAUACCGCAUACGACCUACGGGUGAAAGCAGUGGAUCUUCGGACCUUGCGCGAUUGAAUGAGCCGAUGUCGGAUUAGCUAGUUGGCGUGGUAAAGGCCCACCAAGGCGACGAUCCGUAGCUGGUCUGAGAGGAUGAUCAGCCACACUGGAACUGAGACACGGUCCAGACUCCUACGGGAGGCAGCAGUGGGGAAUAUUGGACAAUGGGCGCAAGCCUGAUCCAGCCAUACCGCGUGAGUGAAGAAGGCCUUCGGGUUGUAAAGCCCUUUUGUUGGGAAAGAAAAGCAGCAGGUUAAUACCCCGCUGUUCUGACGGUACCCAAAGAAUAAGCACCGGCUAACUUCGUG